AAGUGGUAGUGGUGAACAAUAAUCCUCUACUUGUAUACAUAGACUAUAAUACUGUUCAAACAAGCUGGGUUGCCACUCAUAUAUUCUUUAGUACAAUACAAAAGAGUCAAUAUUUAACAUAGCAUCAUGUGUCAGAAAUUGAUAUGCUGGUGUAACCCCUAACAUACACUCUUCACUUCCUCAUUUCUGCAUGUUAGACUCUAGCCUACAUUCCUACAUCACUGCAUCUCCUCUCUGUGCCUCCCCUGGCCUACUCCCAAUUUAUUUAUUUUUUCUGGAAGUGCAUACCCAUCUGAGUAAUGCUCUAUCUUGUCCUCCUCUUAUUUUCCCUUUUCUCCCUCCGUAUCAAAAUCUCUCUGAAUGCCUACUUCCCUCAACCUCCACAUUAACCCCUCUGUACUGUACUCCCCCUUCUUUCAUAUCAUGCCCUGCACUCAUUUCUCUAUUCUCUCCAUCCUUCUCCCACUCAAUCUCAUCCCAGACUCCAUCCAUAUAAAAUCUGCCUACACCUCUAUCUCUCCUCCUGCUUUUAGCAGCUGGUGAUCUCUCUCAACCCAGGGCCCAUCAUCUCCUCUACUCACACUAAGUCAACCAGAAACCACACAAACCUUAUCCCGAUACCAUGCUGUCUAUCCCCAUCUACCAAUCUUCAGUCUGUACUCUGGAACGCCCGUUCCAUCUGCAGCAAUAUAAAAUCAACAGCCAUACACUUCAGAAGGCGUAUUUUCUUCUGUUUAAGCCAUUCUGUUGUUGAUUUACUUCUAUGCUUUGGGUCAUUGUCCUGUUGCAACACCCAUCUUCUGUUGAGCUUCAGCUGGUAGACAGAUGGCCUUAAGUUCUCCUGCAAAAUGUCUUGAUAAACUUGGGAAUUCAUUUUUCCUUCGAUGAUAGCAAUCCGGCCAGGCCCUGACGCAGCAAAGCAGCCCCAAAGCAUGAUGCCCCCACCACCAUACUUCACAGUUGGGAUGAGGUUUUGAUGUUGGUGUGCUGUGCCUUUUUUUUCGCCACACAUAGUGUUGUGUGUUUCUUCCAAACAACUCAUCUUUGGUUUCAUCUGUCC